GAUGAACGCUGGCGGCGUGCCUAAUACAUGCAAGUCGAGCGAACGGACGAGAAGCUUGCUUUUCUGAUGUUAGCGGCGGACGGGUGAGUAACACGUGGAUAACCUACCUAUAAGACUGGGAUAACUUCGGGAAACCGGAGCUAAUACCGGAUAAUAUUUUGAACCGCAUGGUUCAAAAGUGAAAGACGGUCUUGCUGUCACUUAUAGAUGGAUCCGCGCUGCAUUAGCUAGUUGGUAAGGUAACGGCUUACCAAGGCAACGAUGCAUAGCCGACCUGAGAGGGUGAUCGGCCACACUGGAACUGAGACACGGUCCAGACUCCUACGGGAGGCAGCAGUAGGGAAUCUUCCGCAAUGGGCGAAAGCCUGACGGAGCAACGCCGCGUGAGUGAUGAAGGUCUUCGGAUCGUAAAACUCUGUUAUUAGGGAAGAACAUAUGUGUAAGUAACUGUGCACAUCUUGACGGUACCUAAUCAGGAAGCCACGGCUAACUACGUGCCAGCAGCCGCGGUAAUACGUAGGUGGCAAGCGUUAUCCGGAAUUAUUGGGCGUAAAGCGCGCGUAGGCGGUUUUUUAAGUCUGAUGUGAAAGCCCACGGCUCAACCGUGGAGGGUCAUUGGAAACUGGAAAACUUGAGUGCAGAAGAGGAAAGUGGAAUUCCAUGUGUAGCGGUGAAAUGCGCAGAGAUGUGGAGGAACACCAGUGGCGAAGGCGACUUUCUGGUCUGUAACUGACGCUGAUGUGCGAAAGCGUGGGGAUCAAACAGGAUUAGAUACCCUGGUAGUCCACGCCGUAAACGAUGAGUGCUAAGUGUUAGGGGGUUUCCGCCCCUUAGUGCUGCAGCUAACGCAUUAAGCACUCCGCCUGGGGAGUACGACCGCAAGGUUGAAACUCAAAGGAAUUGACGGGGGCCCGCACAAGCGGUGGAGCAUGUGGUUUAAUUCGAAGCAACGCGAAGAACCUUACCAAAUCUUGACAUCCUUUGACAACUCUAGAGAUAGAGCCUUCCCCUUCGGGGGACAAAGUGACAGGUGGUGCAUGGUUGUCGUCAGCUCGUGUCGUGAGAUGUUGGGUUAAGUCCCGCAACGAGCGCAACCCUUAAGCUUAGUUGCCAUCAUUAAGUUGGGCACUCUAAGUUGACUGCCGGUGACAAACCGGAGGAAGGUGGGGAUGACGUCAAAUCAUCAUGCCCCUUAUGAUUUGGGCUACACACGUGCUACAAUGGACAAUACAAAGGGCAGCGAAACCGCGAGGUCAAGCAAAUCCCAUAAAGUUGUUCUCAGUUCGGAUUGUAGUCUGCAACUCGACUACAUGAAGCUGGAACCGCUAGUAAUCGUAGAUCAGCAUGCUACGGUGAAUACGUUCCCGGGUCU
rnacentral:rRNA from 1 species